CAGCCGCCGCGGUAAUACGAAGGGUGCAAGCGUUACUCGGAAUUACUGGGCGUAAAGCGUGCGUAGGUGGUGGUUUAAGUCCGUUGUGAAAGCCCUGGGCUCAACCUGGGAACUGCAGUGGAUACUGGGUCACUAGAGUGUGGUAGAGGAUAGUGGAAUUUCCGGUGUAGCAGUGAAAUGCGUAGAGAUCGGAAGGAACAUCUGUGGCGAAGGCGACUAUCUGGGCCAACACUGACACUGAGGCACGAAAGCGUGGGGAGCAAACAGGAUUAGAUACCCGCGUAGUCCCUGUCUCUUAUAC
rnacentral:rRNA from 1 species